rnacentral:rRNA from 1 species
CUUGCUUCUCUUGAGAGCGGCGGACGGGUGAGUAAUGCCUAGGAAUCUGCCUGGUAGUGGGGGAUAACGUUCGGAAACGGACGCUAAUACCGCAUACGUCCUACGGGAGAAAGCAGGGGACCUUCGGGCCUUGCGCUAUCAGAUGAGCCUAGGUCGGAUUAGCUAGUUGGUGGGGUAAUGGCUCACCAAGGCGACGAUCCGUAACUGGUCUGAGAGGAUGAUCAGUCACACUGGAACUGAGACACGGUCCAGACUCCUACGGGAGGCAGCAGUGGGGAAUAUUGGACAAUGGGCGAAAGCCUGAUCCAGCCAUGCCGCGUGUGUGAAGAAGGUCUUCGGAUUGUAAAGCACUUUAAGUUGGGAGGAAGGGUUGUAGAUUAAUACUCUGCAAUUUUGACGUUACCGACAGAAUAAGCACCGGCUAACUCUGUGCCAGCAGCCGCGGUAAUACAGAGGGUGCAAGCGUUAAUCGGAAUUACUGGGCGUAAAGCGCGCGUAGGUGGUUUGUUAAGUUGGAUGUGAAAUCCCCGGGCUCAACCUGGGAACUGCAUUCAAAACUGACUGACUAGAGUAUGGUAGAGGGUGGUGGAAUUUCCUGUGUAGCGGUGAAAUGCGUAGAUAUAGGAAGGAACACCAGUGGCGAAGGCGACCACCUGGACUAAUACUGACACUGAGGUGCGAAAAGCGUGGGGGGGCAAACAGGAUUAGAUACCCUGGUAGUCCACGCCGUAAACGAUGUCAACUAGCCCGUUGGGAAGCCUUGAGCUUUUAGUGCGCAGCUAACGCAUAAGUUGACCGCCUGGGGAGUACGGCCGCAAGUUAAAACUCAAUG